CUCUCUCUAUAUAAGCUUCUUGUGCCUCUGCUUCCUUCUCAAAACAAGAUCAUAUACUUGCAUCAGUAUUCAGUAUCUGAUCAAGGUCUGCCGGGAUGAAGUUUGUGAUAAUCACAAUAGUGUUAGUGGUGGUGGUCAUGGGAAGCUCUUGUGUGGCCAAAGAUGGCGAAAAGUUGGCGGAGGAGAAGGAAGACAAAGAACUACUUAGCAGCCUCAAUGAUCAUCCUCAUCUUCCUCCAGCAAAGGAAGACAAGGUAUUACUCAGUGAAGACCCCAAUGAUCAUCAUCAACAUCAUAGCGCACCUUCGAGGUACGACGUCGUCGACCAUCCCGCCGCUCACGUACAAGGCCAUGCUUAGUGCAUAAUUAAUAUCCUGAAUCUUUUACAGUUCUUUAUUAUAAAAUUUUUGUAGGGUUUAAAGCUUUCAAAUCUCUACAAUAAUUCUAUAAUCAAGAAUUUUGAAAGAUUUUUAACUCAGAAUAUAUAUUUAUGUAUAUAAAAACAACUCAGGCUCAUAUGGCGUACGUUUGUUUUAUAGCUGCUUUGCUUCUUGCUUGUGGUCAUAUUUCGAUUCAAGCCAUGAAUAAAACCUGUAAAGAAGCGAACUACUGGUCUGUCCGGUCGUGUGUGUGUGUGUGUGUGUUUGUGUAUAUAUUAUACAUAUGAUUAUGCUGGUUAAUAAAGAAGAUACAGUGGAUAUGGUUUGCUUAAA